UUGAUACAGGGAUGAUGGCAUCUGCUCGACCAGUCAGGUUAAACAAUUGAACCAGCCUUCUGCCAUUCGUCUUUGUGUAUAUAGUACUGCGUAUCGAUUACUGUAAUUCAGGUAGAACUGCCUAGUUUGGAUCUUCACGCGUGUUUCCAUCAUCCCUCUAUUGAAACCGAGAUUUAAGCUGUAUAAUUUGAUGUACCAAUUCUGCUGUUCUGAACUGAGUAGCCCGUACUAAUCUGCAGUUCGUUCUCUACAGAUGGAAUUGAAGUACAUUGUAUAGUUUAAAAGUUUAUGAAAAAUGGAGGGAAAACAAAUUUGAAGUUGAAUGUGUGGAAUGCAAUACAGUCCUUGGCUUUUGGAAAACAAAGGCGAGUGAACAAUCGCACACCAUCAAAAUGAUAAGGCGAGUGAACAAUC